GGGUGAGUAAUGCCUAGGAAUCUGCCUAGUAGUGGGGGAUAACGUCCGGAAACGGGCGCUAAUACCGCAUACGUCCUACGGGAGAAAGUGGGGGAUCUUCGGACCUCACGCUAUUAGAUGAGCCUAGGUCGGAUUAGCUAGUUGGUGAGGUAAUGGCUCACCAAGGCUACGAUCCGUAACUGGUCUGAGAGGAUGAUCAGUCACACUGGAACUGAGACACGGUCCAGACUCCUACGGGAGGCAGCAGUGGGGAAUAUUGGACAAUGGGCGAAAGCCUGAUCCAGCCAUGCCGCGUGUGUGAAGAAGGUCUUCGGAUUGUAAAGCACUUUAAGUUGGGAGGAAGGGCAGUUACCUAAUACGUGAUUGUUUUGACGUUACCGACAGAAUAAGCACCGGCUAACUCUGUGCCAGCAGCCGCGGUAAUACAGAGGGUGCAAGCGUUAAUCGGAAUUACUGGGCGUAAAGCGCGCGUAGGUGGUUUGUUAAGUUGAAUGUGAAAGCCCCGGGCUCAACCUGGGAACUGCAUCCAAAACUGGCAAGCUAG
rnacentral:rRNA from 1 species